rnacentral:rRNA from 1 species
GACGAACGCUGGCGGCGUGCUUAACACAUGCGAGUCGAACGGAAAGGCCCUGCUUUUGUGGGGUGCUCGAGUGGCGAACGGGUGAGUAACACGUGAGUAACCUGCCCUUGACUUUGGGAUAACUUCAGGAAACUGGGGCUAAUACCGGAUAGGAGCUCCUGCUGCAUGGUGGGGGUUGGAAAGUUUCGGCGGUUGGGGAUGGACUCGCGGCUUAUCAGCUUGUUGGUGGGGUAGUGGCUUACCAAGGCUUUGACGGGUAGCCGGCCUGAGAGGGUGACCGGCCACAUUGGGACUGAGAUACGGCCCAGACUCCUACGGGAGGCAGCAGUGGGGAAUAUUGCACAAUGGGCGGAAGCCUGAUGCAGCAACGCCGCGUGCGGGAUGACGGCCUUCGGGUUGCAAACCGCUUUCGCCUGUGACGAAGCGUGAGUGACGGUAAUGGGUAAAGAAGCACCGGCUAACUACGUG